rnacentral:lncRNA from 1 species
AAGAACCUUUCUGGAAGAAGCCACCAAGAUGUAUGUAAGGAUGAAUGAGGAGAAGGAAAAAGAGAGAGAUAGAAUAAGAUGCUGUUACAGACAAUGCAGCAGAAAGCCAAUAAGGAGAAAGAGGGGAAACCAUCUUGUGGAUGAGGAAGCAAAAUGGGCUGGAGAAGAGGAAUCUGUUUUGCAGGACAAGUUCCAGCCUGAAGACUGGGUCCUAGUUUGGAUGUGGAAAGAGGGUAAAUUGACCCCAACCUGGGAAGGUCCAUUCCAGAUCCUCCUAACAUCAGACACAGCAGUCCAUACCAGAGAAAGAGGAUGGACCCAUCAUACCAGAAUUAAAGGACUAGUGGAUGCUCCAAGAGUGUGGUCCUCGAAGCUGAAUCCAGAAGACCAGUUAAAGCAAACGUUAAAAAGGACCUGAUAAAUUGUGCAUGUAAAAUCUUAAUAGCAGUAUUAAUCUGGGGUACUAUACUGGGGUUUUUUCUGGCAGUGUUAGAUUUUAUUUUCUGUUGGACAGUGUUCCUUCAACUCAGAAAUUUGACUUAUUAUUCUGUAGAAUGGGGGCCAAACAAAACAUACACAGAAGGGGAUUGUGCUUUCUAUCCCUAUGUAUAACACUAACCCUUGUUGGAACAAUCCCUAAUCUUUUACUGAAGGAAGGCAAUAGCUUCCAGAACUUGAUUCAGAUUAUUGCUGAUACAUUUUAUCUCAAAAACUGCUGGAUAUGUGAGGGAUCCGAACAACUCACACGAUGGCCCUGGGUACCUG